CUCGAGCAACCCAUUUUUAUGGCUAAUUUUGGAUCUAACCCAUAAUUCCUAGACUCAUACCCCUUAACCUAGAAAACCCUACAAAAAUCUAGACCUAGACUCCUAAAAGGGGAUCCCAUCCGCCGUUUUCUCUGAAGAAAGAUCGAAGGAAAUACACAAAAAACAAAAGAACCCUAGAGGACCUAAGAAAGAGGAGCCACAAACAAAAAAAAUGAAGGAUCCCUGAUAUCGUCUUCUUCAAACUUUCAGCUGCUGAACAAAAAAAAAUGACUGCCCCCCCCCCCCCCCACGUCGAUUUUCUUCUCUAACACAACCAUAUCACCUUCUUCGAAAAAACAAGGGAGCAGCCAUAAGAAGAGAACCUUAGACCCUUCAGCCAUUUCUAGACCUUUUCUUCUCUAAACAAAAACCAGCAGGAUCCCUCACCUCUCAAAAAUGAGCACGCUCCACUAGUUACAAUGUUGUCUCAUACAAUGGAUGCAACGAAAUUUCAGCUCUACAUUUCGUAAUUGCCAAAUGAUAAUCCCAGCACACGGCAGUACCACUGCUACCAUCGCCAACUUCACUCUCUGCUAACUCACAACCUCCUCCGUUUCCAUUUUGAUAAACUUUUGCCAUUUCAAUUGUAGUUUGCUCUUGCCGUUGUUCACAUCUGCAGCGAACCAGUGGAGCUUUGUGAGCAUGGGAGGAACUUGAAUCUGUUCUCAAGCUUCACUUGGAUUUUCAGUAAUUGUCCAUUCAAUAUCUUUUGAAAUCGUGACUGAGAUACUGUCGAGAUCGAGGUAGUUCGUCGAGUUUCCGAUUCGCGUUUCUGCUGAUUUUUCCGAUUGAUGAUCUAUUUUGUUGUUGAAUAGCUGUUACUCACCCAAAAACCUUCAGGUAAUAUUGUAACGUAAUACUAUUAUUUUAGUUCUUGCCUUUAAUUUUUUAAGAUGGUCAAUGGAUUACUUUUGGACUAUUUCGGAUUCUAUACAUAUGCCGGUUUCGUGAUUCUAUACAUAGAUUAAUUAACGUUCUUUCCUUCCUUUUCUGUUCGGAAUUCGCACAAAUUGAUUUAUUUCAUUUUCUGUUUGUUAGUAGUUUAGGAAGAACUUGUAUUUGGUUGAGGUAUUGGUAGUAGUAGUAGUUUUGUUUUGGAUAAGUUUAAUCUGUUAAAGUUAUGAUCUUUGUUUGUAAUUGUUUAGCAGUUGAAUCCAUUUAAUCUGUGGAAGAUUUGAUCUUUUUGUGAUUGUUUGGUGUUUUGUAUAAACAACAACAUAAAUGAAUCCUUUUCUCUUGAGCUUUAGGCACGUAAUUAACUCAUCACAAUUAGGGUUACGGUUCCCGUGACGUAGUUGUGAUACUUAAUUUCAAAUUGGCUCUAAAUAUGAAUAUCCGUAGUUCACUUAGUUGAAUGCAUUUCCUUUAAUAAAAUUGAGGUACGCCAUCCAAUCACUUAGUCUAUGGCCCUCACAUCGAUAUCUUAACUAGUGUAGAAAAUGCCUUGAAUUUUCGAAGUUUGCUUUAGGCACGUUAAUUAAAAUAAUUAUCAUAGCUAUGGGUACGGUUCCCGUGACGUAGUUGUGAUGCUUAAUUUUAAAAUCCGGAGGUACAUUUAUGUGACCCGGCCACAAUUUAAUCUUACUAUUAAAAUAAACAUGUAGUAGAUCGUGAGUACGGUUCCCGUGACAUGAUUCACAACAUGUAUUCAAAUAAUUAGUUAUAUAACAAUUGAAUUACUAAAAGCGGUUUAAAAGGAAAAAAUGCACAUAGGUUUAAAAGUGUUUUAAAAUCAAAUAAAUAUGCCAAUAAUAACAAUUGAGCGACCGUGCUAAAACCACGGAACCCGGGAAGGCCUAACACCUUCUCUCAGGUUAACAGAAUUCCUUACCCGAAUUUCUGUGUUUGCGGACUGUAAAACAGAGUCAAUCUUUCCUCGAUUCGGGAUUUAAAACCGGUGACUUAGGACACCAUAAAUUAUCCCAAGUGGCACCUCUGAUUUUUAAAUAAAUAAUCUCGUUUCGAUUGUCACUUUAAAUUGGAAAAAAACUCCCUUAUACUACCUUCGGGUGUGUAAAAAGAAGGUGUGACAGCUCUGGCGACUCUGCUGGGGAUAAGAACCCAGAAUCUCUGGUUCACGGUUCAAGAAUUCAAGCUUAGAAUAAUUGUUAUAUUUGGUUUUAUUUAUUGUCUGAUUUUAUCUACAUGUUUGGGCCUAAUGUGCUAAAUGUUGAUUUUUACCGCUUUGAUAUUAUCUGAUCUGUAUAUAUAAACUGCUACGAAACCCCUCUCUUAUAUCUUCUGAGGAGUGCACGCUGGCGUGACUUCUUUCUGUUAGUGUCAUAUCCCAAUUAAAAACGAGGUUCAGACAAGUUGCAAAGCUGGAUGAUCUUUUGGUUACUGGUACGUUGCCCCCCCCCCCCCCCGGCCUCGAGUUUUCUACUCGGGUAAGCCAGGUCUAGAACAAUACACCCAGAUUUUAAACUUAGAAUAACACAGCCUCAUGUCGGAUCCAUAGUAGGAAUGCUUGUCUGCAUCACGUGCAUUUGACUUUGGGAACUCAAUACAUGGGUUGGGUCCGUCUAGGAAAGGUGUACCCAUAAAACAAAAGAUUAUCUUAUUGCAUCUUAUAUGCUACAUGUUGCAAUUUUCAAGGGUAAACGAGGUCAUUUGGCGGACCAAUGAGGUUUGAGGAUAAAUGAGAAAAAAGAGGGUGAAGUGUAAAAAAAUAAAGCAAGUAAGGCUCAGUUAUGUUUUUCUUUCACAUUUUAUUUUUAAGAAAAGAACAAAAAAAUGAAAAUGGAAAAAUUCAAAAAGAUUUUUCACUUUUUCAUCAUUUUCCGAAAAUCAAAAAUCAAAAAAAGAAUGGGAAAAGAAAAUCCAAAAAGAGUUUAUAUGCUUCAUCAUUUUUCAAAAAAAGACAAAAAAAAUUAUUUUCUCUGAAUUAGUUGUUUUUUUUUUAAUUCUUGCCCGUAUCCAAUCUGCCUGAACUACGCAUACCUGAUUCUCGUCUUUCGGGGCAUGAUACGUAGGCAACCCACAUAGGGUCCAGUCUUCCUAGUGAAUCUUAGGUUUUUGGCUUCGCGGGGUCUUAGCUAAAUUUUGCAUUUUUAGCCACUUUUAGCUACAUAGGUUAGUUUUAGAAAAAUAAUCACAAUCAUGUCUUGCAUGUGUCCAAUAGGGAGUGUUAUUGUCUCACAUAGUGUUCUAGGUCUUUAACUUUAUUUGGUCUUAAUUUUCUCAUACAGGUGUGGAUUUACCGGAGUUUGAGCACGACAGAUACCCCAGGACCAUCUAGUCAGGAUCAGGAGUUGCUUAAGAAGAUGUUUUUUUUUGUUUUUUUUUAUGUUUUGAGUCUAUUUUUUUAUGUCGUCUUUUACCUUCUAGUUUUGUAUAAUAAUGCCUAGUCUUUUAGGUGAUUUUAGAGUCUGUCAUAGGCUAGUUAAGUUUGUUGAGUCUUUUGUUAUGGUAUUUCCUAUUUUGUAUUUUGAAAAAAAAUAUGUGUAAUAAGUCAAAAAUCCAAAAAAAGAAGAAGGAG
rnacentral:lncRNA from 1 species